AAUGUCUAGAUAGGUAGCUGCUUUAGCUAGCAUAUCAGCCUCCCUUAGCUUCCCGACGUUCAUGGCCGAAGAUGGCCUCCUGCACCAGGUUCCUUUUCAAAUCAAUAUCUCGCAACACCACACCAAAGGGUCCUUUAAAGUUCUCUCGUUCAUCUCCUUUACAACCCCAAGACAAUCUGUAGAGGAGCGAAAUGUUUCUUGUUUGUAAUCUUUCGCUACUGUCCGAAAAACCCAUACGGACCUGUAUACUUUCCUCCUAUCAGAUUCUUUCAGCCAGAUUGGCCAUCAGGGCCCAGGCCCAGCCCAUGCGCCUAAUACAAAGCCCAACAAGCUUCCUUCCCCUCCGGCCUCCGGGCUUCUCCUCCUCCGCCAAAGGCUCUCUCCGCCGACGGGCGGCGCUGCCCUGGCCGGCGCCGCAUCAGCGGAGCCAAAAAAUUCCUCAUCUUCCGGCGGUUCUUAGUCAUCCACCCUCCAAACCCUUCCGUCCGUCUCUGAGAGAUGGACAAGAGGGGCAAAAUAGAAGAAGAUCCAGUUCAGGGUUGGGGAUCGGCCAUCUCUCCCUGCAUUGUUGGCAGUUUAUCUGGAAAUUGUCGACCACUUCAGAGGAUAAGUGUGAACAGCAACAGUUGUACAUUUGCUAGGAAUGUUUGACACGAAAAAUACUUUUAGGAAUAAAAAUAUUUCUCUUGCGUGCCAGGGGAAAUAAAAAAAUGCGGGCGUGCCAGUGUACUGAGUACACAAAUAAAUAGUGAAGCGUGUAUUUUAUUAAUCUCGACUCGGAGAAACAAAAUUACAAGAUCCCUUUA